GUGGCCGUGACUAACUCAACGGGUAGAGCAUGGCAUUAACAUUCCCAGGGCUAGGGGGUUCGAUUCCCGCUGGACCACA